CCUACGGGAGGCGGCAGUAGGGAAUAUUGCUCAAUGGGGGAAACCCUGAAGCAGCAACGCCGCGUGGAGGAUGAAGGUUUUAGGAUUGUAAACUCCUUUUGUGAGAGAAGAUCAUGACGGUAUGGCACGAAUAAGCACCGGCUAACUCCGUGUCAGCAGCCGCGGUAAUACGGAGGGUGCAAGCGUUACUCGGAAUCUCUGGGCGGAAAGGGUGCGCAAGCGGGCUUGUAAGUCAGAUGUGAAAUCCUGUAGCUUAACUACAGAACUGCAUUUGAAACUAUGAGUCUAGAGUGUGAGAGAGGUAGGUGGAAUUCUAGGUGUAGGGGUAAAAUCCGUAGAUAUCAAGAGGAAUACUCAUUGCGAAGGCAACCUACUGGAACAUUACUGACGCUCAUGCACGAAAGCGUGGGGAGCAAACAGGAUUAGAUACCCUUGUAGUC
rnacentral:rRNA from 1 species